AUGGCACCACGCACUGGUCCCGAGGAAGCACUCGCAUGGGGCAUGGCCAGGUGCCAGUGGAUGUAAUUCAUGCGGAGCCUUGAGGUGUUUUGCAUGCUCAGACUUGCCUUUGGCAUUUCCUUGAUCACCAGGAUGAGCAUCACAGGAAGCAGUUCUAAGCCCAACCCAAGGCUCAGAACUAAACACAGCUGAGGCCAUCUCAGCCCAGCCACAUUCCAGACGACCUUCAGAGGGUUCUUCGCAAGUGUCACUUGGGACCUAAUGACUCACUCGCAUGCCGCCACCACCACCACCACUCCAAGACCAGCCAAUCUGUCUGCAGCAGCCAGGAGCUCAAGACCACUUCCCAUCUCACCUGAACCACUCCACAUAACUGGAGGGCCACCUGCAUCCUGCGGCUCCUGGCCCUGCUGCCACCUUCAAAGCCAGCAAGGCAGCAACUUCAAAUCUCUCAACUUCCGGGACUCUGAAAGCCGCCACGUCCGGAAC